rnacentral:rRNA from 1 species
ACAUCCAAGGAAGGCAGCAGGCGCGAAAAUUACUCAAUCCUAACCCAGGGAAGUAGUGACAAGCAAUACCGAUAGGGAUCCUUUUGGAUUCUUUGUUGGAAUGGGCGUAAUUUAAACCCCUACGUGAGUACCCACUGGAGGGCAAGUCUGGUGCCAGCAGCCGCGGUAAUUCCAGCUCCAGUAGCCUAUCCACAUGUUGUUGCAGUUAAAAAGCUCGUAGUUGAAUGUCUGGGAUUUGAGUCUGCCGCUCAGCGGCGACUCUGCCCGCCCCGCCGAAAGGCGCUUUUACUGUGAAAAAAUUAGAGUGUUCCAAGCAGGCCUAGCCUGAAUACCUUAGCAUGGAAUAAUAACAUAGGACUGUCUGUGAUGUUGUUGGUUUGCAUCCAGCGGUAAUGAUUAAUAGGGACGAUCGGGGGCAUUUCUAUUCAGCAGUCAGAGGUGAAAUUCUUGGAUUUGCUGAAGAGAAACUGCUGCGAAAGCGUCUGCCAAGGGCGUUUUCAUUAAUCAAGAACGAAAGUCAGGGGAGCGAAGAGGAUUAGAUACCCUCGUAGUCUUGACCAUAAACCAUGCCGACUCGGGAUUGGUGUUCGCCGCAGGGCACAUCAGCACCGUAUGUAAAAACAAAGUCUUUGGGUUCCGGGGGGAGUCUGGUCGCAAGGCUGAAACUUAAAGGAAUUGACGGAAGGGCACCACCAGGAGUGGAGCCUGCGGCUUAAUUUGACUCAACACGGGAAAACUUACCAGGUCCAGACAUAGUGAGGAUUGACAGAUUGAGAGA